UAUAACCGUCCUUUGAAGCCAGGUGUUGUGAUAACGAUUGAACCGGGAAUCUAUAUCCCAUCUUCUUUUGAUGGUCCAGAGAGGUAUCAGGGCAUUGGGAUAAGAAUUGAAGAUGAGGUCCUCAUUACUGAUUCAGGAUACGAGGUAGAAUCGGA